rnacentral:rRNA from 1 species
UACGUAGGGUGCAAGCGUUGUCCGGAAUUAUUGGGCGUAAAGAGCUCGUAGGCGGUUUGUCGCGUCUGCUGUGAAAACUCAGGGCUUAACUCUGAGCUUGCAGUGGGUACGGGCAGACUAGAGUGCGGUAGGGGAGACUGGAAUUCCUGGUGUAGCGGUGAAAUGCGCAGAUAUCAGGAGGAACACCGGUGGCGAAGGCGGGUCUCUGGACAGUUCCUGACGCUGAGGCACGAAGGUCAGGGGAGCAAACGGG